ACACAUGCAAGUCGAACGGUGAAGAGAAGCUUGCUUCUCGGAUCAGUGGCGGACGGGUGAGUAACACGUGAGCAACCUGCCUUUAAGAGGGGGAUAACGUUUGGAAACGAACGCUAAUACCGCAUAACAUAGAAGAUUCGCAUGUUUCUUCUAUCAAAGAUUUAUCGCUUAAAGAUGGGCUCGCGUCUGAUUAGCUGGUUGGUGAGGUAACGGCUCACCAAGGCGACGAUCAGUAGCCGUACUGAGAGGUAGAACGGCCACAUUGGGACUGAGACACGGCCCAGACUCCUACGGGAGGCAGCAGUGGGGAAUAUUGCACAAUGGAGGGAACUCUGAUGCAGCGAUGCCGCGUGAGGGAAGAAGGUUUUAGGAUUGUAAACCUCUGUCUUCAGGGACGAUAAUGACGGUACCUGAGGAGGAAGCUCCGGCUAACUACGUGCCAGCAGCCGCGGUAAUACGUAGGGAGCGAGCGUUGUCCGGAAUUACUGGGUGUAAAGGGAGCGUAGGCGGGAUCUUAAGUCAGGUGUGAAAACUAUGGGCUCAACCCAUAGACUGCACUUGAAACUGAGGUUCUUGAGUGAAGUAGAGGCAGGCGGAAUUCCUAGUGUAGCGGUGAAAUGCGUAGAUAUUAGGAGGAACAUCAGUGGCGAAGGCGGCCUGCUGGGCUUUUACUGACGCUGAGGCUCGAAAGCGUGGGGAGCAAACAGGAUUAGAUACCCAGGUAGUCCACGCUGUAAACGAUGAUUACUAGGUGUGGGGGGACUGACCCCUUCCGUGCCGCAGUUAACACAAUAAGUAAUCCACCUGGGG
rnacentral:rRNA from 1 species